rnacentral:rRNA from 1 species
GACGAACGCUGGCGGCGUGCUUAACACAUGCAAGUCGAACGGAAAGUGCCUGCCUUUGUGGGGUGCUCGAGUGACGAGCGGGUGACUCACACGUGAGUUACCUGCCUCUGACGGAGGGAUAUUUUCAGGAAAGUUGGGCUACUACCGGAUAAGUGCUCGUGCUGCUUGGUGGUGGUUGGAUAGUUUCGGUGGUGAGGGGUGGACUCGCGGGUUAUUAGCUGGUUGGGGGGGUAGUGGCUUAGCAAGGCAUUGGUGGGUAGCCGGCCUGAGAGGGGGACCGGCCACCUUGGGACUGAGCUACGGCCCGGACUAGUACGGGAGGCAGGAGUGGGGAAUAGUGCACGAUGGACGGAAGCCUGGUGCAGCAACGCCGCGUGCGGGGUGAUGGACUUCGGGUUGUGAAGCACAUUCCCCUGUGACGGAGCGUGAGUGACGGUACUGGGUGAAGAAGCACCGGCUAACUACGUG